CACCGCCCGUCACACCACGAGAGUUUGUAACACCCGAAGUCGGUAGGGUAACCUUUAUGGAGCCAGCCGCCGAAGGUGGGACAGAUAAUUGGGGUGAAGUCGUAACAAGGUAGCCGUAUCGGAAGGUGCGGCUGGAUCACCUCCUUUCUAAGGAA
rnacentral:rRNA from 1 species